AACGUAGGAGACAAACGUUAUCCGGAGUUACUGGGCGUAAAGGGCGUGCAGGUGGUUCGUUAAGUCUGGCGUGAAAGCCUCCGGCUCAACCGGGGAAAGUCGUCGGAGACUGACGAACUAGAGGGCAGUAGAGGCGUGUGGAAUUCCGGGUGUAGUGGUGAAAUGCGUAGAGAUCCGGAGGAACACCAGUGGCGAAGGCGACACGCUGGGCUGCACCUGACACUGAGACGCGACAGCAUGGGGAGCGAACGGG
rnacentral:ncRNA from 2 species